UUCCCAGAAGACAGUUGAGCCCCUUCUGCAAACUGCUGCGGGGAGGGGGUCCAGGCGGUUCACCAGGGCUGAGCUGAGGCUCGUGGGGCUGGCACCCCCAAGAGACACCCCUGAGACCCGAGGUCCUGUUUCCCGAGAAGCAAGUCCAGAGACCAGGGCUCCCCUGUGGCCCCCAACAGCCCCGCAGGCCUGAGAAUUCCAGCCUCCAACCGACGCCCCCGGGCAGUUGGGGCCUUCCCCCUGCGUAUGGCCGUGGGCUCGGUUCUCCGAGGCCCAGGGGGACCCCGGCUGGGUGCUGACCCAGACAGUCCCGGGGACAGUGUGGCCCCCUGGCGGCCUCGCUCCAGGGCUCUCCUCUGAGACAGGCCCGGGCCUGCUCCUGACGGGCACCCUGACGACCUCUGGGGGCGCUUGUCCCCUGCAGCAUCCGGGGCCCACCCGCCUGAGACCACCGGACGGGUUUGGGCUCACAGGGUCGCUGGGUCGAGCGUCUCAGCUCCUGCUGCCCAGGGCUGUGCCCUGGAAACCGCGAGAAUAUGAAAGGGGUCCAGUCUUGCCCGCCCCACCCCACCCCCGCCGCCCACCGCUGCCCAAGGAGGAUUCGGUGACAUUCUCUCCUUCGGGCACACACGGGGACCGGGGGGCUCUCAGGGGUGGGGCUAACCAGCUGCCCCUUGGAGGGGCCUCUGGGGAGACAGCCCCCUCCCGUGCUGCCCCCCAAGGGAUCCUCUUCCCACCUCCCCACUUCGGGGACAGCACACCCCCAUCCCUGGGCAGACCAGCAGUCCCCAGCCUGGCAAGGUCACAUGGGGCCUGGGGCUGACCCUGCACCCGGGACUCCCUCCCCCAGCAGGUGUCUGCAGGGUGGCUUCCCUGAGGAGCCUCUGCCCGCGGAGAGUUCUUGUUGGAGGAACUUUCUGGCCUGAGAGACACCUGCGCCCGCCAGCCGCCCUGGGGCAGCUGUGGGGCCCUCACUGGUGUGGGGCCGCUCCCGGGGGCAUCUCUGAUGCACAGUGGGCUCCCCGGUUCCUGAGGCAGAGAGUCCCAGAGCCCACAGACAGAGGUCCCCCGCCUCGGCCGAGCCCGGGUGAGGCCCCAGGAGGCGAGGCCGCUCUAGGUCGGAGGCGGGCAGUGGGUGGGCAAGAGGAUGUGAAGCGGCCACCAGCAGGGGCCCAUGAGGAGCGUGGCCCCCAGGAGCUGGAGACGGGGACCCCAGGCUCGGACAGAAAGGGGAGCCGGGGGCUGCAGGCUGCUGUGGCCGGUGUCAGGGCCCGUGUCAGGGCCGGUGUCAGGGCCGCGUGUAGGGGAAAGCCCCGGAUGAGGCCUCCCUGGUUCGGGCAGUGACCACCUUGGGGGGCGUUUUGGAAGCUGCAGCCAGAGGGACCAUGUGCCUCCGGGUCGUGGGUGUUUCUCCCUCUGCCCCCUGUCCCCUGACACAACCCACGGAGUGGGUGGGACCGGGCGGGGGACACCAGCGCAGCCCAGGCCAGGCUCUGGGGCACUGUGGGGUCACAUCGAGGGUUCCCAAUCCCUUCAAACCCUCUGGGUCAUUUGUCAUGAGCAGAGGGGCCCGAGUUCACCCUGGGAUGUGUCACGGUGGGGACUUACCAAACAUGCUCAACACCCUGGAGCACCGUGGGAUGGAACCGGACCUUCCGGCCACACGGGGUGAUGGGACUCCGGAAGGCACAUCUGAAUGGGGCCCUCAGUCCCUGGCCCCCGGUGGCAUGCCCAUCUCCGUGGCAACGAGGGCCACGUGAGGAAGAGGUGAGCGGGCGCCGAGCCUGCACGUGGGGCUUCGAAGCUCGGAGCACAAGGGCAGGCUGCAGGCGGGGGCCCCAGGCAGGCCGGGGCUGGGCAGGCAGCCACUUGAGGGCAAAGCCAGCCGCCUGGGGACAGAUCGGAGCAGAAGUGGGCAGGUGCCAGGGCCCUGAGAGGUGCCUGUUGGCAGGGGCCCCCCGGCUGAAGGGCUUGGAACCCCCAGGCCCUGAGCUCAGUGGGCAGGCCCACCCUAGCCUGGGGCCUGGGAGAGGGUGUCCUACUCCUGACAGCCCUUCCCUGGGCCCUCACCCAGCCUGGAGGAGGCAUCCCGGAGGAGGAGCUGAGCAGGGCCGGGGAAACUGAGGCCUGAGGAUAGCUAGAGAUGGAUGGUGCAGGGCAGGCGGCGUCCCACCUCCCCAGGAGCAGCCGAGGGCCUCGCACGAGACAAAGGCUCGGGGGGCCCUGGGGUGGAGCUGGUGAGGCCCAUCCGAGCCGGGGUCAGAAGCCAAGCAGUGACCAGGACUCAAGGGGCAAUAUCCAGACAGGGUGCAGGUGUCAGUGGUGCAGCCCUUGCCCUGGGGUUGGCGACCAAGGGCCUGAGGAAGUGAGAGGGUGGCCCUCACCCCGGAGUGGGUGCGGUGUCAGGGGCAACCUGGGAAGGCCUCUUGGAGAAGGCAGAGAGGGACAGAGGCCCCUGGGUGCUCUUGGGGGGACCACGUGAGAGGAGGGCCAUCAUGGGGGUUCACGGUGGCAGCAGUGGGGAGCAGGGUGCGGCCUGACAAGGGAUCCCCGCUCCAGCAGUGAGGCUCCGUGGACGCAGAAGGGCGCGCGCCUCACGCCGAGGUCUCCUGCCCCCUGACCCAGGUCUCUGCUGUCCCCCACGCACCUGUCACUGCUAUAGUUUGAAGACCCAGAACCCCGUGUAUGGAAAUCUAGAUUGACCGCUGGACAGAGCGACCCGGGGCGCCAGCACCUCCAUGUGGAGUGACCCCUGGGCCCGGGAAGACCGUGAACACCAGGGAGUCCGGGCGCCCACGCUGCUCACGUCAUAGAGGGGCUGGCUCGACCCGGGGCCCACGCUGUGCUCGAGACUUCGCUCCUGCCCCCCGAGGUCCACACGGGCUGGCAGCACGGGGGAGACGGGGGGGGGGGCGCAGUUUCUGCUGAGUGGAUCCCUCCCUGGCAGGGAGCGGCGGGAUGGGGAAGGCAGGGCUCCUCCGAGUCCCGCUGCAGCCCACGGCUCCCAGCGACAGGCUGUCACCAUCUGACUCACUCACUUAUUCAGUACAUGAUAAUCGAACGCCCAGAAUGUACUGUCCCCCCGUCAGCUGGGGAGAGGAAGACGGUGUGAGCGGAUGGGCUGUGCCCAGGGGCUCCACCUGGCAGGGAGACAGACUCACUGGAAGGAAAGGGGAAACCGUCCAGGUGUGCCUGGGGGAAUCAGGGCAGGCCUCCUGGAGGAAGGGGCAUCCGAGCCGGGGCUUGCAGCAUGGGUAGGAGCUCGCCAGAUGGCGAGGGAAGAAAAGGUGUCGCAGCCCACAUGGGGGACAGCCCCAGCGAGUGUCAGGGUAGGAGGUGGUGUGCAAGGGCCCAGCCCGGGGCGGGGGAUGCACCUGCCGGGGGAGAGGGUCUCGGCCACAGGAAGGUAGCGUCUGGUAUCCAAGCUCCCCGCAUUCCCCCCGGACCCCCUCCUGCUCCUUGGGGGCCUCGGCCCACAGCCCUGCUGCUGCGGCAUCCACCCUGACUCUCCAGGGUCCGGUGGGGCCAGGGAGGGGGAGGCCGGGGCCAGACAGGGCUGUGGGCGGCUUCCAGAUGCCUGCAGCCCAGUGGCUGGGCCGGGCCUGCGCCCCCUGUGGUCAGCCCUGCUCCGGGCUCAGGCGAACACCUGCUCCUCCCCCGCGUGCUGCGUGGCCGGGGCACAUUCCUCGGCCUCCCUGUGCCUCGGCCACGGCCACCCGGGGCGUGAGGCAGAUUACUGGGCGUUGAUGACUAAAACGCUGGGCAAGCGUGCUGGGCAGGGACAGUGGAAGUGCGAGGACGCCCGGGGAGGAGUGGGGGGUGGACACUCAGGGGCCCUGGGGGGGGCGGGGAGGGGCGAGAGCCUGCGGGCUGGGCCUCGUCCUCACACCGGGUCCUCAGGAAACAGCGGCUGGGACAGAAGGAGGAGGAAGCACAGCCCAGAGCCCAGCGAGUGGAGCAGAGGACGAGCAGGUGGGCGAGCGAGCGAGCACGGAGCCCCCCACGUUUGCGUCCUUGCCCACGGCCGCCGCCCAUCUGCACAGUCUGGGCCCUUCAGCGUCUCAGGAGAUUUCUGGGCGCCUGGAAUAACACGCUCUGCCCUAGUUUUCUGGCAGCCCCGGGCUCAGUGAGGGAGUGAGUGGGUGGCUGCCUGCCUCCGACCAUCACAUCAGACAAAGGAGGUCACAUCCCUGUGGCCAAAGGGGUGAACAGUUCCAAGUCUGCUGGAAACAAGAGCCCUCCUGUCAGCUGUACACAGGGACCCUUAUGCCGCAUCGGCAGGAAACGGGCCACGUGGCCACAUCGGACACACCAGGGCUUCCGUGGGAGGGACGGGGCGUGGAUGUCGAGCCAGCCACCGGCAGGAUCCAUAGAGAGACGCGGGUUACUCACGGCACCACCCAAAGGACCAGCUCACUUCGGGUGAAGCUGCCUGGGUGUCCCCCACCUUGGGGCCCAGAUGGCCAGCCUCCUGCCUCCCCAACAGAAGUCCCCUCCACAGCACCCCUGGCCCGGGUCACCCCAGACCGUCUCGGGGACCUCCAAGGCCGGCGACCUCACGACCCCUGCAAAGGCAGCAGGGAGGGAGGGGGGACACGGGUCAUCGCACACCCGGACACCCAUCGAGGGCGGCGGUAACGAAGCCGCGCCGUCCCCCCAGGGCCGCACAGAUGGCGAAGAAGCCGUCCUCACGCUCUCCCGGGGUGCAGCUGGGUGGGCACAGGCCAGAGCUCUCCGGAAGCCGGCAGCCACGGGCGCAAAGGACGUGGUUGGGUGGGCCCAGCGACCACCCGCCCUCCACGCCACCCGGUGGAGGAAUCUGAGCCCAGGUGUGUUCAAACCCCGGAGCAGCACCGGCCACAAGAUGCCAACCCCAGGCCCCCUUGGCAGCCAGGGCGCUGGGCCAACCCCACGGUCCCCACCCUUUCCCCGAGGCGGUCAGUCCGGGGUGGGGGGCCUCCUGCACACUUGUGGGGUCGCGGGGGUCAUGGGGGUCGUGGCAGCCACGGGGUUAGGGGGUUUCCAGCCACCUGGAGGCUCGCAGUGGGGCCCCGUGCAGGGCAGGUGGAACAAGCCGGACAGCUUGGGGGGCCCUGUCCCGGGGGCUGCGCCCUGCUCCCCCUGCCCGUGCGGCCACCCCGCUGCCAGCACCCCACAGUCUUGAUCACGGCAGCUGCAGAGAAGCCUUGAUAUCGGGGAGACUGAUUCCUCCCGCUUCAUUCUUCCUGUUCCAAACUGUGUUCGCCAGUCCUGUUCCUUCUCCUUUCCCUGCAAACGUCAGAAUUUUUAUUUUUUUAAAAAGAUUUUAUUGGGAUCCCUGGGUGGCGCAGCGGUUUAGCGCCUGCCUUUGGCCCAGGGCCCAAUCCUGGAGA